rnacentral:rRNA from 1 species
CAAAAGGUUGAGUUUAAUAUAGGUGAUUAUGUAUUGCUAUACAACUCUCGUUUAAGAUUUUUUGCAGGAAAACUUCUCUCUAAAUGGGAAGGUCCUUACGUUAUCGAAGAGGUCUACCAUUCCAGUGCCAUAAAAAUCAACAACUUCGAAGGCACAAAUCCGAAGGUGGUGAACGGUCAAAGAAUCAAACAUUAUAUCUCAGGUAAUCCCAUAAAUGUUGAAAUCAAUAUUAUUGAAACCGUAACCCCGGAGGAAUACAUAAGGGACACUUUCCGGAACGUUUCAGACUCCGAAAAGGAAUAG